UGGUGUAUUCAUAAUGAAGAUUAGAAAUGUGUGCAAAGUGCCUAGAAGAGGGUCCAGCAUUCCAGGGAGGUUCACUGAUAAGAACUUCCAUCCCUUUUGUUUGGUAGCAGAAGAGCGUGCGGCAACCUACUGCUCCAAGUGCAUGAUGGGAACUGGCAGCUCCUCAAUCCAGCGUCAGCCCUGACUAGUGUUAUUUGAAGAAAUCCACAAUUCUUUCUCUACCUUUAAAUAGUGAACCCAGCUCUCUCAACAGAAUCGGUACUGCAUGAGGUUUGGGGUCAUUCUGCCAAGAUACACACCCUUGUUCUGUCAUUUUCUAGCCAUAUAAACUCAGCUGAAGGUAAGUUCUUGGUGUCUCCAUUUGCUGUUCUUUAAAACGGAAAACACAGAGAUACCUAUCCGAAAGGGUUUUGAUGCAACUGAAGAUAAUCAUUCUGCGUGCAGUGCCUAGCUCAGCAAGGAACAUGGUGAGUCUUCAAUACAUAGUAGUAGCUAUU
rnacentral:lncRNA from 1 species